rnacentral:rRNA from 1 species
CCUACGGGUGGCAGCAGUGAGGAAUAUUGGUCAAUGGGCUUACGCCUGAACCAGCCAAGUCGCGUGCGGGAAGACUGCCCUAUGGGUUGUAAACCUCUUUUGUCAGGGAGCAACGCCGGCUACGUGUAGCCGGACUGAGAGUACCUGAAGAAAAAGCAUCGGCUAACUCCGUGCCCGCAGCCGCGGUAAUACGGAGGAUGCGAGCGUUAUCCGGAUUUAUUGGGUUUAAAGGGUGCGUAGGCGGAAUGCCAAGUCAGCGGUAAAAUCGCGGGGCCCAACCUCGCUCCGCCGUUGAAACUGGCGGUCUUGAGUGGGCGAGAAGAAGGCGGAAUGCGUGGUGUAGCGGUGAAAUGCAUAGAUAUCACGCAGAACUCCGAUUGCGAAGGCAGCAGACCGGCGCCCAACUGACGCUGAAGCACGAAAGCGCGGGUAUCGAACAGGAUUAGAUACCCCGGUAGUC